rnacentral:rRNA from 1 species
GGUUCAGGACGAACGCUGGCGGCGUGCCUAAUACAUGCAAGUCGAACGGUCUUUCUAUGGAAGCUUGCUUCCACUGAGAAGAUAGUGGCGAACGGGUGAGUAAUACGUGGGGUAACCUGCCCAUAAGAGGGGGAUAACAUCCGGAAACGGGUGCUAAUACCGCAUAGUUUUCUUGAUCGCAUGAUCGGGAAAGGAAAGACGGCCUUUGUGCUGUCGCUUAUGGAUGGACCCGCGGCGUAUUAGUUAGUUGGUGAGGUAACGGCUCACCAAGACGAUGAUACGUAGCCGACCUGAGAGGGUGAUCGGCCACAUUGGGACUGAGACACGGCCCAAACUCCUACGGGAGGCAGCAGUAGGGAAUCUUCCGCAAUGGACGAAAGUCUGACGGAGCAACGCCGCGUGAGUGAAAGAAGGUUUUCGGAUCGUAAAACUCUGUUGUCAGAGAAGAACAAGUCGGAGAGUAACUGCUCCGGCCUUGACGGUAUCUGACCAGAAAGCCACGGCUAACUACGUGCCAGCAGCCGC